AUUGAACGCUGGCGGCAGGCCUAACACAUGCAAGUCGAGCGAGCGGCGGACAGGUGAGUAAUGUCUGGGGAACUGCCUGAUAGAGGGGGAUAACUACUGGAAACGGUGGCUAAUACCGCAUACCAUCGGAUGUACCCAGAUGGGAUUAGCUAGUAGGUGGGGUAAAGGCUCACCUAGGCGACGAUCCCUAGCUGGUCUGAGAGGAUGAUCAGCCACACUGGGACUGAGACACGGCCCAGACUCCUACGGGAGGCAGCAGUGGGGAAUAUUGCACAAUGGGCGCAAGCCUGAUGCAGCCAUGCCGCGUGUAUGAAGAAGGCCUUCGGGUUGUAAAGUACUUUCAGCGGGGAGGCGUUACCCGCAGAAGAAGCACCGGCUAACUCCGUGCCAGCCGCCGCGGUAAUUC
rnacentral:rRNA from 1 species